rnacentral:sRNA from 1 species
GCCAGGUGUGGUGUUGCAUGCCUGUAAUCCCAGUUCCUUGGGAGGCUGAGGUAGGAGGAUUGCAAGUUUGAAGCCAGACUCAGAAGCUUAGCAAGUUCUAGGCAACUUAGUAAAAUCCUGGACCUUGU